AUUGAACGCUGGCGGCAGGCUUAACACAUGCAAGUCGAGCGAGCGGCGGACGGGUGAGUAAUGUCUGGGAAACUGCCUGAUGGAGGGGGAUAACUACUGGAAACGGUAGCUAAUACCGCAUACCAUCAGAUGUGCCCAGAUGGGAUUAGCUAGUAGGUGGGGUAAUGGCUCACCUAGGCGACGAUCCCUAGCUGGUCUGAGAGGAUGACCAGCCAAACUGGAACGGAGACACGGUCCGGCUCCCGACGGGAGGAAGAAGUGGGGAAUAUUGCACAAUGGGCGAAAGCUGGAUGCAGCCAUGCCGCGGGUGUGAAGAGGGCCUUCGGGUUGUAAAGCACGUUCAGCGAGGAGGCGUUACUCGCAGAAGAAGCACCGGCUAACUCCGUGCCAGCAGCCGCGGUAAUUC
rnacentral:rRNA from 1 species